rnacentral:rRNA from 1 species
GGAAACGAGGAAUAAUGCUCCAUAGUAUCAUCACUUCGCAUGUUGAGAUGAUUAAAGAAUUUCGGUAUAAGAUGGGCAUGCGUCCCAUUAGCUUGUUGGUGAGGUAACGGCUCACCAAGGCUACGAUGGGUAGGGGGCCUGAGAGGGUGGUCCCCCACACUGGUACUGAGACACGGACCAGACUCCUACGGGAGGCAGCAGUGAGGAAUAUUGGUCAAUGGAGGCAACUCUGAACCAGCCAUGCCGCGUGAAGGAUGACGGCCCUAUGGGUUGUAAACUUCUUUUGAAUAGGAAGAAACUUAUCUACGUGUAGAUAACUGACGGUACUAUUAGAAUAAGGAUCGGCUAACUCCGUGCCAGCAGCCGCGGUAAUACGGAGGAUCCAAGCGUUAUCCGGAUUCAUUGGGUUUAAAGGGUCCGUAGGCGGGUCUUUAAGUCAGUGGUGAAAGCCGACAGCUCAACUGUCGAACUGCCAUUGAUACUGGAGACCUUGAGUACAAAUGAAGUAGGCGGAAUGAGUCAUGUAGCGGUGAAAUGCAUAGAUAUGACUCAGAACACCGAUUGCGAAGGCAGCUUACUAACAUGUAACUGACGCUGAGGGACGAAAGCGUGGGGAGCGAACAGGAUUAGAUACCCUGGUAGUCCACGCCGUAAACGAUCAUCACUCGCUGUUGGCGAUAUACUGUCAGCGGCCAAGCGAAAGUAUUAAGUGAUGCACCUGGGGAGUACGCCGGCAACGGUGAAACUCAAAGGAAUUGAC